UACGUAGGCAGCGAGCGUUGUUCGGAAUUAUUGGGCGUAAAGAGCUUGUAGGCGGUUUGUCGCGUCUGCUGUGAAAAUCCGGGGCUCAACCCCGGACUUGCAGUGGGUACGGGCAGACUAGAGUGUGGUAGGGGAGACUGGAAUUCCUGGUGUAGCGGUGAAAUGCGCAGAUAUCAGGAGGAACACCGAUGGCGAAGGCAGGUCUCUGGGCCACUACUGACGCUGAGAAGCGAAAGCAUGGGGAGCGAACAGG
rnacentral:rRNA from 1 species